rnacentral:lncRNA from 1 species
GCCCCAUAGCCCUGCCCCAUAGCUGCCCCAUAGCCCUUCCCCAUAGCUGCCCCAUAGCUGCCCCAUAGCUGCCCCAUAGCUGCCCCAUAGCUGCCCCAUAGCCCUGCCCCAUAGCUGCCCCAUAGCUGCCCCAUAGCUGCCCCAUAGCAGCCGGCUGUGCCCCACAGGAGCCCACGAGGAGGUGGAUUACAGCGAGAAGCUGAAGUUCAGUGAUGAAGAGGAUGGGAGGGAGUCGGAUGAGGAGGGGUGAGUGCGACCCAUAAGUACGGCCUGCCCCAUAAGUGCCUUCAAGUGCCCCAUAAGUGCCUUCAAGUGCCCCAUAAGUGCCUUCAGGUGCCCCAUAAGUGCCUUUGGGUGCCCCAUAAGUGCCUUCAAGUGCCCCAUAAGUGCUCUGUGAGCCCCAUAAGUACCUUCAAGUGCCCCAUAAGUUCCUUUAAGUGCCCCAUAAGUGCUGUGUGUGCCCCAUAAGUGCUGUGUGAGCCCCAUAAGUGCUCUGUGAGCCCCAUAAGUACCUUUGUGUGCCCCAUAAGUACCUUUCGGUGCCCCAUAAGCGCUGUGUGUGCCCCAUAAGUGCUGUGUGAGCCCCAUAAGUGUCUUUAAGUGCCCCAUAAGUGCCAUGGGGCGCCCCAUAACCACGUC